UAACACCACAGUUACAUCUAAGUGUUCAGGUGAAAGGAAAAGUCACAUGUCUCACCUUAAAUCAAAAGCUAGAAAUGAUUAAGCUUAGUGAGGAUGGCAAGUCAAAAGCCAAGA